AGUUUAUGAAACAGGUCGUCAAUAAUCGUUUUGUCUCUUUUUUACUAGUACAAAAUUUCAUUUGGUAAAAGAGAUAAAUAUAUAUUUGUUAUUUCUAGUUAUGGCAACAUUUUGUGAUGACGUCACAACAGCUGUAGGUGCGUGCCAUUUUUCGCCAUUUUAUGCGCUGUGUUUUGUGGUACUUCUGCUGUCAAGUAGCUGUUUAUGAGAUCGUAUUUUGUGUUUUGCGGAUAAAUUACGAGGAUUUGAUUUGCUAAAUCGAAGUUGAAGUUGAAAAAAGUGUUAUUCAACAUGUCCGUGUAUUGUAUUGUACAGUGUGGAGUCAGAAAGGACAGAAUUAACCGUAUUUGUCACUUCAUAGGCCAUCUUUCAAUCCAAAAUUGUCUACUGGAUUUACUGAAACAGGUGAUAUUGGAAAACUAAUCCACAGCUGCAACGUCGUCUGUGCUGCCAUUGCCCGUACGUCUGUCUCAUAAGUCAGUACAUGAAAAGUCUGUUCAAGAAGACGCGAUGAAAAAAUUAAAAGAUAGCCAAUUUGAAGAAUAUUAUGGAAGAUCUGCAGAAUAAAAAUCAAAUAAUAAAGGGCAAAGUGUAUUGAUGGAAGAAUUGGCAGGACCGCAAGACUUUUUGAAAAGGCAGGUAAACAAAUUUCAAGGUUUACCUUUGCCAAAGAAGUAUUCCCAAGAAAUAAGAAAGUUUGCUUUAACUUUACAUUUUCUUUCUCCGAAAGCGUAUAAUAAUUAUAUAUGCAAUGUGACAGGGUGUCACAAAGACAAUUUCUAAACAAAUUGACACUGUUUAGAUUUGUAUUUAUUGUAAAUAUAAUGUAGUUACAUAAUAAAUAAUGUGUGAAAUGAAUACUUGCU
rnacentral:lncRNA from 1 species